rnacentral:snRNA from 1 species
AAGGCAUGCGUGCUUCACCAGUGCCAGGGCUCACCACACAGAGAAGACAGGCGUGGUCCCUACACAAGGAUGACACGAAAAUCCUUGAAGUGUUCCCUAUUUUA